AGCGAACGCUGGCGGCAGGCUUAACACAUGCAAGUCGAACGGGCAUCUUCGGAUGUCAGUGGCAGACGGGUGAGUAACACGUGGGAACGUACCCUUCGGUUCGGAAUAACUCAGGGAAACUUGAGCUAAUACCGGAUACGCCCUUUUGGGGAAAGGUUUACUGCCGAAGGAUCGGCCCGCGUCUGAUUGGCUUGUUGGUGGGGUAACGGCCUACCAAGGCGCCGAUCAGUAGCUGGUCUGAGAGGAUGAUCAGCCACACUGAGACGGAGACACGGCCCAGACUCCUCCGGGAGGGAGCAGAGAGGGAUAUUGGACAAUGGGCGGAAGCCUGAGCCUGCCAUGCCGCGUGAGUGAUGAAGGCCGUGGGGUUGUAAAGCUCUUUUGUCCGGGACGAUAAUGACGGUACCGGAAGAAUAAGCCCCGGCUAACUUCGUG
rnacentral:rRNA from 1 species